rnacentral:rRNA from 1 species
UAAUACGAAGGUGGCAAGCGUUACUCGGAAUUACUAGGCGUAAAGCGCAGGUAGGCGGUUCGAUAAGUCUUUUGUGAAAGCUCCCGGCUUAACUGGGAGAGGUCAAGAGAAACUGUCGAGCUAGAGUGUGGUAGAGGAUACUGGAAUUCCCGGUGUAGCGGUGAAAUGCGUAGAUAUCGGGAGGAAUACCUAUGGCGAAAGCAGGUAUCUGGGCCAUCACUGACGCUGAGCUGCGAAAGCUAGGGGAGCAAACAGGAUUAGAUACCCUGGUAGUCCUAGCCCUAAACGAUGCUCAUUAGAUGUGGGGGGUAUCGACCCCUUCCGCGUCGUAGCUAACGCAUUAAAUGAGCCGCCUGGGGAGUACGGCCGCAAGGUUG